rnacentral:rRNA from 1 species
AGAGUUUGAUCCUGGCUCAGGAUGAACGCUGGCGGCGUGCUUAACACAUGCAAGUCGAACGAAGAUGCCGGAGUGCUUGCACUUUGGCAGACUGAGUGGCGGACGGGUGAGUAACGCGUGGGUAACCUGCCUUAUACAGGGGGAUAACAGUUGGAAACGACUGCUAAUACCGCAUAAGCGCACGGUAUCGCAUGAUACAGUGUGAAAACUCCGGUGGUAUAAGAUGGACCCGCGUCUGAUUAGCUUGUUGGUGAGGUAACGGCCACAAGGCGACGAUCAGUAGCCGGCCUGAGGAGGGUGAACGGCCACAUUGGGACUGAGACACGGCCCAAACUCCUACGGGAGGCA